ensembl:rRNA 5S_rRNA 5S ribosomal RNA
UCAGAAAAUGAUACCACCCUGAACGCGCCCGAUCCUGUCUGAUCUCGGAAGCUAAGCAGGGUAGGGCCUGGUUAGUACUUGGAUGGGAGAAAAUGAUACUCCAAAGUAUGGCACUUUGGC